AACAAAAUAACAGAAGCUACUUCACUUUGAAAAUCACCUUUUGCAAAAAAACGUAAGGCAUUAGUCACUUGCACUAUAACCGGUAAUGCUCCGUGACGCUUUGUUUGUCUCUGUAAUGCUGGUUGCAUGGUAAGAGACCUG